rnacentral:rRNA from 1 species
UACGUAGGGUGCAAGCGUUAAUCGGAAUUACUGGGCGUAAAGCGUGCGCAGGCGGUUUUGUAAGUCUGAUGUGAAAUCCCCGGGCUCAACCUGGGAAUUGCAUUGGAGACUGCAAUGCUAGAAUCUGGCAGAGGGGGGUAGAAUUCCACGUGUAGCAGUGAAAUGCGUAGAGAUGUGGAGGAACACCGAUGGCGAAGGCAGCCCCCUGGGUCAAGAUUGACGCUCAUGCACGAAAGCGUGGGGAGCAAACAGG